rnacentral:lncRNA from 1 species
UGCCCAAAUAAGAAUUUCCGAACAAAAAAAUGCCCUUGUUCCAGCUUAUACUCACAUUUUCAUCUAAACUUACAAAAACUCAUACUUGUACCUAUCUCCGGAAUAACUAGUUCCUGCUAAUUUCCAAAACCAAACGAAGCCUUAGGGGGUGACCAGACUGAUUCUAUGACCAGACGGAGCCGCAGUUUGUGGUGGACAGAAACAGCUGAUAUUUUGUGAGAUGGGAUUUGGUGUGGAUCGUAUCAAGUUAAGUGAAAUGUCUAAUCCUGGACUAAAUCGGAUGCGUAGCAAAGUGUCAUAUCCCAAAUAGUUAGUUCCACCCGAAAAAAUGAGGAGGAUUUCUGAUCCAUUAUAGGUAAUUAAUCUAGGCUUAAUCAUCCUACAACCAACUGUUUUAUAUAUACCCGACAAACUACUUGUGCCAGCGGUGUUUGGUUUGGUAUGUUGUACAAAGACUUUAUUGGCUACGUUAUUAAAAGUCAACAUAAUGCUAUAUUAGGCAAGCUCAGUUCAGGUGAAAAAUGCACUAACAAGAUAAAAAUUGUAAGGCUCAAUUUCAACUGUUAUUGGCUACGUUAUUUUAUUUGCAUUAAGAUUUGUAGUUGCAAAAAAAAUAUUCUUCUUUCCAUAUAAAGAAUGACAAAUGGUUGAAAUUGAGCUUUCAAACUAAUUUUGUUAGUGCACCCUUCAUCUGUGCUGACCAUGUUUAGAUCCUUUCAUUUAUGCAGUUUCUAAUGAGUUUUGUCUCGAAAAAUUGGCGAUCUUGAAUUUGUAAGGUAUAUUUCGUGUUUAGACAUGCACGUAAGUUGCAGCUUCAUGACUUAAAAUUGUCAGGCCGCUAUAUUAGUAAAGGUCGCAAGUGCCAAUAUGAUGAUGGGCAAUAUAUUGUUUUAUGUGGAGCUGGAUUACCUUUACUUUCCAUAUGGAACAAUUGGAUCCAUUCUAGCUUUGCUCAAGGCACCUAGUGUUUAGUUGACGAAUUAGAUUUAUUACUGUAGAAACUUGUUCUCACUAUCUAGCUAGCUGACCGACUGUACUUCAAAGCAAGUGGCAGAGGGCUUGGUAAUUGAUACUUCAGGUUCCAAAUUCGAAGUCUAAUUAAUUCGCAUGUUCAAUUAAAUUUAUUUUUUUAGAAAAAAUUAACGUAAUAGUUAGCAUGUUACCUUUUUCUCACAAAAAGAUAUCUAGCUAGCUUAUUCUAAAUGUUGAACCAUUACUAGCCGAGUAUAUUUGCAAAACUACCUCAUCAUCUGCACAUUAGGGUACGUUCUGAGGUGGUCUAGCAUUUUCCUCGUACACCAGCUCACCAAAACAGCUGUUCAUAAUUUGACCACUUACCCAUAACCUGGGGCCUAUGCACGUGGGCUUUUUAGAAAAGAGAUUUGAUACCCAACCUGCUAGUUUUAAAGUAGUCCCCACGUACAUCUCUUUCGUUACACUUUCUCUCCCACCUGGCAGUGUCUAGAUACUUCAUUUUUAAUAUGGCACCCUAGUCUUUUCAAUAGAAAAGUUUGAAAAAUGUCCAUUAGCAGUAGAAUCUUAUGAGCAUAUAUCCUGCUCUUAUGUCAUUCAUGUUGGAUUCAUCAUUAGGAUUAUGUCAUUGUAAUCUUUUAUAUUUGGAACUGUUAAAUAAGUAUUAAACAUGUUUCUCUGUUGAUUAAUUUGAAUCGCAAUGGAUGAUUUGCUAGCAGAGAUUAUCAAGCACGUCUUCUUUACCUAUUAAUCACGAAAUUCACAUGUUAAUGCACGCCACGUGUUGCUUCGAGAUGAAUGGCUGCCGCUGACACCGCAAGUUAUAGGAAAUUAUUUAUAUGUUGAAUGCGUAUUAUUUAUCUAAGAAGAUGAUUCCUUAAUAGGUCAUUGUUGCCCCCAUUAAGUAUAUUUUAUUUGGUUUAUACUUGGCACAUGUACAUGUGACGUGAAUUUCGUAAUGCAUCAAACAACAAGUAUUGUUGAAUAUCAUUUAGUGUAUUAGAAAGUGUAAAUUCCACACUACAUUUAACCUUGUCUGAUUGAUUCUCACUACUAUAUGGUGGAUAUGCAGCUCAAAUUAGUUCUCCUUGCAUUUGACACCUUUGUGUGCAAUUUAUGAGGUCAAAAGCUUUGGCCAAUCCUUAUGGUCUAGCAGGCCCAAUUUAUGGCGGCAUUGAUUCAUUUUCAACUGUGAAAGUGGACCCAUUGGAUUAUUUGUUCUGUGAUUUCAAUAAAGUAUGGAGUUGAAUCUCAAAUUAUCCUAGUAAGAAAUAGGAAAAUGCUACAAGAACACCCAGAAACAGGGUGCAUAAUAUACACCCCCUUAUCCUAGGAUGUGUAAAACCUUUUGGAUAUUUAGUAUUUAAAAAAAAAAAAUGUCGAAGACAACGGCCCAUUAUGGGCCCUUGGAUGACGGGAUGUAAGAUUUAUACCCGCUUUUUUGGUGUACAGAUAGUAAUUCUCUAAGAAAUAAGGAUGACGACUUAGUCCUGAACAUUUAGCAGAGUUUGUGUUUGGUACUUUUUAAAGCAUGUAUCGAACACCUUAAACUCUUUGUAUUUUUUUUUUAUAACCUUCCAGUAGGAAGUAAAUUUCUCUACUGGUCCCUCGACUUUCAUUAAGUUUUAUGUUGGUCCUAGAACUUUUAAAGUUCAAUAAUUGCAACCCUGAAUUUUUUUUGUUAUUGUUUCGCUUUAGUCCUCUAUUCAUCUCUUUCUUCUUAUUUAAUAGUUUGUUUUCUAAUUAGUGACAAAGUCGGAACUUAAUGGUGUUAUGAUUGAAAUAUGAGAUGGGAUUAUUGAAAUGUAAGAAGGGACUAAGCAUUGAUAGAUACCAGGUACUUGGAUAUAUAGAUUCACUAGAACUUUAAACUUUUCUUAUAAGUAAGGUUUACAACACAAGUGAAACACUUUUAAAAGUUUAGGGUGUUGAAUGUCGAAAUUAAAAGUUCCAGAGCCUGGAAUAUGGCCGGGUGUAAAUUUGGUCUCAAUCUAAGGACAUCUUUUUGCAGCUGUGUUGGGGUGUUGAUUGUCGAACUUCAAAGUCCCAGGGCUUGGAAUAUGGGUGUCAAUUUGGUUUCAAUCUAAGGACAUCCUUUGACAGCCGUGUUUGCUUACGCACGUCAAGGAAUAAUUAUUCCUUUUAGGAUUAAGUUGGACCAGUAGCAACCGAACUUUUAGUGUAGCUUCUGUCUGGCCCAUGCACUGUUAAUGCGUGCAAGGAAUCCCAAUUGAAUUUAUUUUGACUUACCAAAAUAUGCACUUAGGACCUAUAGUUGCAGUCAUUCGUAUCUAAUUUAUAUCUUAUCAUAAUUCACACAAAAUUAUUACCACCCAAGUGAAGAAACAACUCAUUGGCCCUUUACGAUACCACCUUUUCUUAAAAUGGAAUAGCUAGCUUAUGUUUUUAGAAGACUCACUGCCUUAUAUCUCUUGGAGAAACAGAGACUGAGCAAUAGCGUGAUCUUGUGCAAAAUAUUUAACAUGAUAUGUAUAGCCUACUAAUUAGAUGCAGGACAGUAGAGAAGUAUAAUGGGCUGGCUUAAAAUAAUCAGUCUUUAUAUAGACAUAUAAAUAAAAUGUUACUUAAACUGGAGCAAUAGAAUAUAAUUUUAUAACUAUCAUGGACACUUGACAAGAUGCAACAUGACUGAACUUUGUCAUGAAUAUUCCCUCCACAAUAUGUGGUAAUAGGGAUUGUUGAUGCAAUACACAGCCUAUGCGUCAUCGAAAAGCAUCCGUCGCGUUGAGAUGUGGACAAUCUGAAGGACGGGAAGAAGGCACCAAAUUUUCUAGCCAAAGGCAAGGUGCAGCCCCGAGGCCAAUGUCAAUAAUAAUUUGCAAUGGCUGUGGUGUUUUCUUCAGCAUGAGCAAUAUAAGUUGCAAUGUCAGUAUUUAUGGAAGGAGUGCUUGGAGUAUAAAAAUGAUAAAUUUUGUAUAAUUCCUGCUCUUUUUUUUCACCUUUCUUUCACCUCUCAGUGCUUGAUUUUAUGAAUUCCAGUAAUUGACCUCCAUCCAGUCACUAAUCAAGCUCCUUUAUCUCUUUUUGUCUUUCCUUUCCCCAUCGCCUUCUCAGUAAUUUGAAAAGAAAAGGGUCAGCGGAGAUUAUUAUCUAUUAUUAAACAACACUACAUCUUACAACAAGCCAACUAGAUGGUUGGAUGGAUUUACACCCUCUUUAGCAUGUGCCAAGUCAUUAAUUUGGGAGGACUUCCAACUUGAAAGUCUCCGUUUUUAGAAAUAUCAAUAGUUAGGAAACACUAAAUUGUGAUUUAGAUGGAUUUCUAAUCAUUUCAAAUGACUUGAAUAAGUAUAUGAAAAUCAAAUAAUUUGAUGUUUGAACUUCCAUAAUUUGAGUUUACUAAAGUUACGAAAAAGUUUCUAUCCAACGGUGAACGCCCUAAUGAAAGAGCAGCGGCAUGAUAAAUGAAUUGGAAAUUGAAAUUUUAAUUUAUGAUUUUUAGAAAUCAAGUAAUCAAAUCACAGAAAACAAAAAAAACACUAUAUUAGAUCAAACUAAAAAAAUAUUUUGCAUCUCUUGACGUCUAGGUGGAUUAUUUUUCAUUUCCAUAUACAAACCACAAAGGUUAAAAUUCAAGAUUUCAAGUUCACCUUGUGCCACUUAAGGCUUAUGAUUUAUGGCACAGUUGAUCUCAUUGUCAAUACUUAUCGAUUCGUUUUUCUGCAAAUCUAGAAGUCUUCAAAGUCACCAAACGCAAUUGCGAAAGUUGUGGACUUCAAAGAUAGUGUUACUGGUGUAACGACCUGACUCGCUAGCAAUAAUAACUCAUUGGGCCCAAACCAUCAGCCCAAAAUGCUUAAACCCAAUUAUUAUUUCUAGCCUAAUCAAGCUUAUAUACCCUCACAUCUAGCCAUAACUAUUCGAUGUGGGACUAUUGGGGUGUCACAGAUUCCACCUGUUUAGGCCCUGACGUCUUCGUUAGCCCUAAACACACAUAGCCUAAGAUUACUAGGUGAUGUGAGACUUGUCUCGCUAGCCUUAUCAUUCUGACCCUGGCUUAGCCGAGACUCAUCUCACACUUUCAGCUGGUGAACUGGUUUUGAUGCCAAAUGUAACGACCUGACUCAUCACACUUUCAGCUGGUGAACCGAUUUUGAUACCAAAUAUAACGACCUGACUCACUAGUAAUAAUAAUUCGUUGGGUCCAAACCGCCAGCCCAAAAUGCUUAAACCUAGUUAUUAUGUCUUAUCCUAAUCAAGCUUAUAUACCCCUACAUCUAGCCAUAACUAUCCGAUGUGGGACUAUUGGGGUGUCACAACUAGUCCUAGGAGAAGUUUGAUAGCAGAGAAUACGUAUGAAGAAAGAAGUCCAAGCAGGGAGCAUGAGCAAGAUGAAAAUUUUCAACUUUCGUAU